UACGUAGGGUGCAAGCGUUGUCCGGAAUUAUUGGGCGUAAAGGGCUCGUAGGCGGUCCAUCGCGUCGGGAGUGAAAAGCUGGGGCUUAACCCCAGUCCUGCUUUCGAUACGGGUGGACUAGAGGUAGGCAGGGGAGAACGAAUUCCUGGUGUAGCGGUGAAAUGCGCAGAUAUCAGGAGGAACACCGGUGGCGAAGGCGGCCUUCUGGACAGUGACUGACGCUGAGACGCGAAAGCGUGGGGAGCAAACAGG
rnacentral:rRNA from 1 species